UCCGUAGGUGAACCUGCGGAAGGAUCAUUACAGUAGUCAUCCGGGUUGCCGCAAGGCCUCCCGGGUAACCUACCACCCUUUGUUUAUUACACUUUGUUGCUUUGGCAGGCCUGCCCUCGGGCUGCUGGCUCCGGCCGGCGAGCGCCUGCCAGAGGACCUAAACUCUGUUUGUCUAUAAUGUCUGAGUACUAUAUAAUAGUUAAAACUUUCAACAACGGAUCUCUUGGUUCUGGCAUCGAUGAAGAACGCAGCGAAAUGCGAUAAGUAAUGUGAAUUGCAGAAUUCAGUGAAUCAUCGAAUCUUUGAACGCACAUUGCGCCCCCUGCUGAUUAUCCGGGGGGCAGUGCCUGCUUUCGAGCGUCAUUAUAACCCUCAAGCCUAGCUUGGUGUUGGGGCAUGCCUCCGGGCAGCUCUUAAAAUCAGUGGCAGUGCCUUCCGGCUCUAAGCGUAGUAAUUCUUCUCGCUAUGGUGCCCGGAGGUCCGCUCGCCAGAACCCUAAUUUCUAUGGUUGACCUCGGAUCAGGUAGGGAUACCCGCUGAACUUAA
rnacentral:rRNA from 1 species